rnacentral:sRNA from 1 species
AUUCUACCCAUGUGGGGAAGGAUGAGAAGCUUCGACUAAGGUUCGAUUCGAGCGAAAGCGAGAAAGCGUUGCCGCAGGCAACGAUCCGAAGGGCGAAGCGCGCAGCGCUGAGUCAUCCUUCCCCCACCACCA